rnacentral:rRNA from 1 species
AGUGAACGCUGGCGGUAGGCCUAACACAUGCAAGUCGAACGGCAGCACAGUAAGAGCUUGCUCUUACGGGUGGCGAGUGGCGGACGGGUGAGGAAUACAUCGGAAUCUACUUUUUCGUGGGGGAUAACGUAGGGAAACUUACGCUAAUACCGCAUACGACCUACGGGUGAAAGCAGGGGAUCUUCGGACCUUGCGCGAUUGAAUGCGCCGAUGUCGGAUUAGCUAGUUGGCGGGGUAAAGGCCCACCAAGGCGACGAUCCGUAGCUGGUCUGAGAGGAUGAUCAGCCACACUGGAACUGAGACACGGUCCAGACUCCUACGGGAGGCAGCAGUGGGGAAUAUUGGACAAUGGGCGCAAGCCUGAUCCAGCCAUACCGCGUGGGUGAAGAAGGCCUUCGGGUUGUAAAGCCCUUUUGUCGGGAAAGAAAAGCAGCAGGUUAAUACCCCGCUGUUCUGACGGUACCCAAAGAAUAAGCACCGGCUAACUUCGUG